rnacentral:rRNA from 1 species
UACGUAGGCAGCAAGCGUUGUUCGGAAUUACUGGGCGUAAAGAGUGUGUAGGCGGUGCUCUAAGUCUGUUGUGAAAUCUCCCGGCUUAACCGGGAGGGUGCGGCGGAAACUGGAGUGCUUGAGGGGUGGGAGAGGUAAGCGGAAUUCCUGGUGUAGCGGUGAAAUGCGUAGAUAUCAGGAGGAACACCUGUGGUGUAGACAGCUUACUGGACCACUUCUGACGCUGAGACACGAAAGCGUGGGUAGCAAACAGG